AAUUUAAAUUGUAUAUAUAAUCACAUAUGUACAAUUACAUAUGUUCCUUAUAAAUUGCUUCUAUAACAUACAUAUAUUUUGUUUUAUUAUUUUUCUUGUACUAUUUUUUUUUUAAGAUUAAGAAAUUUGAAGAGCCCAAACGAGUCUGAGCAUUUAAACCUUUGUAUAUGAAAAGAAAAAAAAAAAAAAAAAAAAAAAAAAAAAAAAAAAANNNNNNNNNNNNNNNNNNNNNNNNNNNNNNNNNNNNNNNNNNNNNNNNNNNNNNNNNNNNNNNNNNNNNNNNNNNNNNNNNNNNNNNNNNNNNNNNNNNNAAAAAAAAAAAAAAAAAACAACAACAACAGCAAAAAUAAAAAAAAUAAAGAAGUAAACAAAAAUAAAUAAAAAAAAAAAAAAAAAAAGCAAAUUAAAUUAAAAAACAAAAAUAUAAACAAUAAGUGAAAAAGUAAAAGUUAAAUGAAAAUUUUAAACCCUCUAUAUGCUAUAAAUGAAUGAAAACAAUUGUUAACGUUUUUUUUUUUUUUUUUUUUUUUUUGUGAAAAUAUUUUUUUUUACUCAUUUUAUAUAAUUAUUAAAUAUAUAAUUUUAUUAAGCCUAAUUUACUUUUUUUUUUUUUUUUGCUUUUCCAUUUUUGAACUUAUAAACAAAACAAGCUUUCUAUCUGCAUUAAAAAUUAAAAAAAAAAAAAAAAAAAAAAAAAAAAAAAGAGUAAAAUUAUGUUUUUGCAUUUAUUUAUUUAUGUCAUAUAUCUAUAUUUAUACACUUGUGAAUAUAUUUAUAUGUAUGUAUGUAUGGUUUAACUUUUCAAUAUAAACUUUUAUUUUUUAUUUAUAAAAACUAAAAUAAAAGCUUAUAUUUUAAACGGAUAAAACAAAAUAUGUAUAUAUAUAUGUGUAUAUAUAUCACAUAUAUAUAAAUUAUGUAAAUUAUUCAAAUGGGUAAAAACAGGCAAAAAUGUCAAAAAAAUAAAAACAAUGUUGAUAACACACAUUUAAACAACAAACCUUCUUUAUGGUCCCGCUUAAUUAAUAAAGAAAAAAACUUCUUUGAUAAAGCCUUUGAAGAAAACCUAGCAAAUUUUCAAAAAUUAUCUUUAAAAGAUGAAGACAAUUGUGUGGUACAAGAAGAAGAACUUACAGAAGAAAAUAAUUCACAAACAUUAGAAAAAAAAUUUGAAAAAUUAAAUAAUAAAAGAAAAAAAAAAAAAAAAAAGAAAAUUAAAGAUGAUAAAAAAUACAAAAAGAAAGGUAUCACAAAUAAUAAACUUUUAUUUUAUACUUUUAUACUUUUUUUUUUGUUUUUUUUUUUUUUACUUUAUUACACACAUCAUAAUACUAGUUUAAAAUGUAAAAAAAAUAUUCGAAUAAAUUCAUUGUGUGAAUCUAUUACUACCAUCAUGAUUAUCAUUAAUACUAUUUUUAUUAUAAUUCUUAGUAUUUUGUAAAUGAAUUAACAAUUUACACUUAUACGAUAAGUUACAAUUUAAGCAACACCUUGAAUUCGUAAAUAUAAAUAAUAAGAUGUUGCUUUGUGUGUUAUUCUGUUAAUAUGUAACUGACAUGAAUUUCCCACAUCAUAGAAUAUAUAAAUAUAUAUUUGAGCUUUAUAUGUGUAUAUAUAACAAUAUGUUUUUACAAAUGAAAAUUAUAACACUUUUAAUUGCUUUAUUUGUUAAACGUAUCAUAAACAGCAAAUAAUUAUUUUCUCCUAUCACAUGUUCAUCCUUUUUAUGUGUAUACGUAUAUACGCAUACAUGUAUACAUGCGUGAACGUAUAUAUAUAUAUAUAUUUUUACAUAUACUAAUGAAGUUAUACAUUAAAACAUUUUAUUAUUAUUAUUAUUUUUUUUUUUUUUUUUAGUCGAAAAGAAGAACGAAAAGAAAACAUUUUAAAUGAAUAGAAGAUAAAAUUUAUAAUUUAUGUUUUUAAAAGUUGAUAUAUGUACUUUUUUUUUUUUUUUAUUUUUUUAUUUUUUUUAAUAAUUCAUAUACAUUUUUUAUUAUAAAUUUAUUCAUUUGUAUUGUUAUAGUUAGUGUUACUGUUGUUACGUUUUGACUCUUGUUACUAUUAUCAUUAUUUGUAGUAGUUAUUUUUACAAUUAUUAAUUGUCUAAUUUAUAAAUAAAUACAUUUUUUUUUUUUUUUUUUUUUUUUGU
ensembl:lncRNA